GUUGACUAAAAAGUAUGUUGAAAACAUUCAGCUGUUCUAUACCAGUCAAAUGCAGUCAAGUGAUUCAUUACAGGAAAGUUUUAAAUCCUCAUAUUUGUUUCUGCCCUUAUCAAGUCAUUUCCUAUAUUCAUCCUUUCUGAAAAUGUGGUGCCCUAGGACACAGAAGAACAAUCUAAGGAGGAAGUGUGCUGCCCAUUGCAGCGCUGCACCGUUUCCCAUUGAUCUUCCUGGUCUGUAAAUAAAAAGCUGCAGUGAACAAUAAUAGGGUGACAUUAGAUGUUAGGAUUGCACGUGGUGUUUUGUUUGAGAAAUCUUGGGAAGUGAGUCAAACAUAUUCAGAGCUCUUGGUGAUGCUAAAUUUAUCAGUAUCAACUUGGUAAUAUUUAACAGCUGGGUUUUGAUUUUUAUAAUCACUCAGCUGUAGGUGCCAGCUGUAUUUUGAAGGUAACCCCUACACUUCCAAUGAAGAAACAAAGUUGUGCCUGUGAAGUUAAGUUGGGCAGGGAACCAGGGGUCAAUUUAAUAAAGAAAAACCACUUCAGGUUUGUGUACAAGGGGCAGUGAAGAAACAGGCAGGGAGCAGUAAUCCCCAAAGGGCCAUCUGGGUCUUUGACCUGCAGUGCUGCAUGCUGACAGGAGGAAGUAGAUUGGGAGGCAGAGGAACAAAGCUAUGUGUGUGUCAGCUGGAGAGGGAGGGGGGAAAUUAAAAAAAAAAAAAAAAGUCAAAUUCAAAUGAGGUGGAGUCACCAGAGCAUGAAUGCACUGAAUGGGCAGUCUGGCUGGGACACAAGCAGCAAAGCUAACAGGAACAAUCAGUGAAUUAUUUUCCAUCUGGAUGGAGUGGACUCUGUCUUGUCUGUCUUUAGCUGAAUGACUUGAUUUAGAGCAACAGCCUGUUUCUCCCCCCCGCCUCCCUCGGUUGAGACUUGGAAUCCUCUUUGCCGUAAGGGUUAUUGCACUGGGGAAAGAAAAUGGGAAGGCACUGCUGGGUUAUAUGGGGAGUAUCUUUGCUGGAGUCUCUGCUUACUCGAGGAGCUAGCUUGCCUGCUGCUGCCCUCUCUUAAAGCGAAGAAAGAAUGCAAAGAGAUUGGUUCAGAAGAAGGGAGCUCCUUGUUGUUUCUUUCUCCCAUAAAGUUUUCCACCACCCGAAUCUCUGUCAUGACUGCUUCCAUAGUUCACACAAUAUCUUCCCAGCUGACCAUGCUGGCUUUCCGCAACGAACGCGCUCCCGCCUGGAAUACAUUGGAGCUGAUGGAUCUGCUGGGUCUCUGGGGAGAGAAGGCUGUCCAGUCUCAGUUUCACUCCAGCCGUAGGAACUUUGAUUCCUCCGGGCUGAUCACUAGUGGCAUGCAAGAGAAGGGGCAUGAAAGGGACACCCAGCAGUGCCAUGCUAAGGGAUCAAGGAGCUGAGGCUGGCGUACCAGAAGACAAGGGAAACCUAUCAUUGCUCUAGUGUGGCACCGGAGACAUGCCAUCCUCUACGGUAACCCCACCUCCACCACCAAGAGCCUCAUGAAUACUUCUGGGGGGACUGGAGCCAGCAACCAGCAGACUCAACCCUGAAGGCAAAGUAGUGGAGGAGGAAGUGGAGCUGGAGGACGAUGCGGAGUACACGGCAGAGUCAUCCAGUGGCAUGGCAAGUCAGGACCUCUUUUCCACUCGGAAGGGAUCUAGUCAAUCCCGGCUUUCCACUCUGGCAUACGUGAUGCAGGAGAGGGGAGCUCCGGUAAGUGCUCACUUUGUUUGAUGCUACAUGGUGUGUGGAAAUCGAGCUCUCAUUUAUUGUGUUAUAUGGUAGAGAAGAGAUAAUGGACAGAAAUUAACAACAGAGCCUAUGCAUCUUUGUAGUGGGGACCCGGCAGAAAAGUUUGUUAAUGUACAUGGGGAUGACCCGAGAAUUCUCCAUAGAGAUCUCCAGGAAACUGAUACUCUGCUGCAGGUUUCUUGGGAGAUCUGCCUUCUUUCUCUCCCUGCUGUAGGAAACUUUGCCAUGCCACACGGCAAUUAUUUCUGCAGAGACCAGAGUGGCAUACAGGCAAGCAGCUUAUGAAGCCGGUCUGAAGCCACACGAAUGCAGAAGAGAUGUGCCCUUGAGGACCCACUCCUCCACACCGGUGGAGCCCCUCAGUCAGAGAAGGUGAUGAAUCAGAAGGAGUAAGGAGGACAUGCUUUGUAAAGUGCUGCAGUCAACAGAUACAGCAGAUAGUGAAACAAGAGCGUGGAGGGAGACAGCUAAUGAAAAAUUCAGGGUGGAUAGCCUGGAAAGGAGAUAAGGGCAGGAGUGGAUGAUAGAUGGGCAGAAGCAGAAGAUAAAGCUACUGAAGGGCUAGACAGAGAUGCUCAAGUCCCACAUCAUGCUGCAGUCAGAUCACAUCCAUGCAUGGGUCAUUCUACAGCCAAUACAAAACUCUGUUCCAUGCCCUCCCCAAACUCCCCCACCACAUUCCGCGCAUGUUCUCGGUCCCUCACAGAACCCCUUCCACUCCCCCCCAGGUACUGAUUUCACAACGAAAGUUGCAGUUACUCUCAGCUGUGAGAGCCGUAACCAAGAGACCGUUCCUCAUUUCCAUGUCCCCUGUUUGACAAAACAUUUAUAUUAUGUCCUGUUGUUAAACUUUAUUCUUUGAUACAAAUUGACUCUUUAUUUGUAUCAUAUAAACAUAAGCCACAGGAGCAAGGAGUAGGCAGGGUCUCCAGGAUCACUAUGGAUAUUUCAGCAUCCCCCAUUGGAAUCUUCUGGUCUGGAAAGAAAGUCCCAGCAUGUAGCUUCCUCUACAACCCAGUGUUCCAAAAGAUGCAUUCAUCAUGCCCCUACUCUGAGCACCUCACAUUGAUGUCAGUGAAGCAGUCCCGGUGAUCCACCAGUGCCUUGAAGACCAUGGAGAAGUAGCCCUUUUGGUUGACGUACUGUGUCGCAAGAUGCUCUGGGGCCAAAAUUGGGAUAUGUGUUCCAUCUAUUGCCCUGCCGCAGUUAGGGAAUCCCAUUGUAUCAAAGUCAUCAAUUAUUUCUUGCAUAUUUCUGAAAGUCACAGUCCUUUGUAAGAGGAGGCGAUUAAUGGCCCUACAUACUUGCAUCACUGCAGCCCCCACAGUGGACUUUCCAACUCCAAACUGAUUUGCAACUGACUGCUAGCAGUCUGGAGUUGCCAGCUUCCACACAGCGAUCUCCACUCGCUUUUCAACAGUGAGGACAGCUCUCAUUCUGCUGUCCUUGCACAGCAGUGCUGGGGAGAGCUCCGCAUACAGUUCCAAGAAGGUGGAUUUGCGCAUCUGAAAGUUCUGUAGCCAGUGCUGGUUAUCCCAUACAUGUAUCACAAUGCAAUCCCACCAUUCAGUGCUUUUUUCCUGAGCCCAGUACCAAGGAUCUUCCAUGUGUAACUGUUCGGUGAAUGCCAGCAUCAAUCUUGAAUUGUUUGUUUCUGUGGUAGACAGCAGGGCAGGCA